rnacentral:rRNA from 1 species
UACGUAGGGUGCAAGCGUUAAUCGGAAUUACUGGGCGUAAAGCGUGCGCAGGCGGUUUUGUAAGACAGAGGUGAAAUCCCCGGGCUCAACCUGGGAACUGCCUUUGUGACUGCAAGGCUUGAGUGCGGCAGAGGGGGAUGGAAUUCCGCGUGUAGCAGUGAAAUGCGUAGAUAUGCGGAGGAACACCGAUGGCGAAGGCAAUCCCCUGGGCCUGCACUGACGCUCAUGCACGAAAGCGUGGGGAGCAAACGGG